rnacentral:misc_RNA from 1 species
UUUCCGUAGGUGAACCUGCGGAAGGAUCAGUAUUGGAUUUUGAAACUUCAGGCUGCUGCUGGCUCUCCUCGGAGGGCAUGUGCACGCUUGUUGUCCAUUAUUUCUCCCACUGUGCACAAAUUGUAGACCUUUCAGUAGGCCUAUGUUGUUUUUCACAAUCUCUGAAUGUAAUAGAAUGGUUUUGAAUCUUGGGAAAUACAAUACAACUUUCAGCAACGGAUCUCUUGGCUCUC